CACCAUCUCCAGAAACUCUUUUCCACCUCAAUUGUCUUUUCAUACGCCCUGUUCCCCUCAUUACUCCUAUUGUUUCUCCUUUAUCAUCAAAAUAUUUACUGUUUCCUCCCCAUUUCUGUUUAGCCUCUCGUCUCUUUCCAACGUUGUUAAACUCCUUAUGUCUUCCUCCAGUGCUAACAUGGCCUUUCUCGGUAGCCAAUAUCCCAGGUCAGUACUCCUAAGACACUCAACUGCUCCUUUUGCAAGUUCAUGAGCAACUCCGUUACUAGAUCUAGAUAUUUUUUGAAAACGACAUUCCUCAAAACCUGUGCUUAAUAUUUGAAUAUCCUGAAUGUACGAACAUAAAACUGACCGAUCCUCUUUUAAUGCCUUUACUCUCCUUCAAUGAUAACCCGUCGGAGUUCCAUUUCUAACCCCGCCUGAACUGCUAGUAGACAGGCUAUUGCCUCCACCGCAAACGGUGUAAGAACUCCCUCAUUAACUAACAUUUUAGCACCCAAGUUUUCUUCUUUUGAAUUCCUAAAGAUUAUUCCUGUCCCUAAUUGCUUCCUUUGUUUGUUGUAAGCCUCAUCGAAGUUUAUUUUGGUUAUACUUUGGUCCGGUGGUGUCCAACGUUCAUUGUUAUUGACCCUCCCUGGUAAGUUAUUUUUUACAACUAACCAUUCUUCUAAAUAUUUCCCUAUAAAACAUACAGUUUCUAUGGCUAAUUGUUGUAUUUUUUUCAUGCAAUACUCUAUUUCGUCCCAUCCAUAUCGCCCAAAUGGUGGCAAACAAUAGUUGUUUCUGUUGGUCGCUACUUCUCGUAAGAUGUUCCCUUAUCCAUUCCUGUAGAGUAUCAUUUAAUGUUAUUUCCUGUAUCUCGAAGUUGAGUUCUGACCAUACCUCUUGUAUUACAGAAUAGUCCCUAAUUGCAUGCUCCAAAAUCUCUAGACCCUCCUUGCAUCUUGGGCACAUCGUUGAGUUACUAAUUUUUCUGUUGUAUAAAUUUCCAAAUGUAGGGAUAUAGUUGUUGCAUAUUCGCCAGUUUAUAAUUCUAAUUUUGUUUGGGAGAUUUGUAUGCCAAAGGUGGUUGUAAAAUUCUCUACAUGUGUUGUCAUUAUUAGCCAUUCUUGGGUUUGUAUUUUUCGUCAAUAAGUUUCUGUAGCUGCUCCUUACUAUAUAUCCCCUCGUAAGUUCGCCACUCCAGACCCUUUUUUCCUCUUGUGGGUGUCUCGCCAAAGGAAUCUCCAUGAUCACCUCUGUUUUUUUGUUACUAAAAAGUCUGGUGAUUACUUGCUCCUUCAACUAUCUUGAAUUUAAAUCAAUAUGCCACUUUUGUUACACUAUAAUCACUGACUGACUCUUAAAUUCUUUGGCUUUCCAGUUCAGGAACCUAAGCAUCCUUGUAACAGUCCGUUUUUAGUGAAAUUAGAACAGUGGUUUCGGAACUACAAAUUCGAGUCAGGAAAAAAUUUUAUUUUAAUAUUAUUGUAUGGUCUGCAUUAUGAUAGGACAGACGUACGGAAUUUUUUAUAAGAAAAUUUUAUUGAUUUCAUUUUUAAUUGUUAGUAAGGAC
rnacentral:lncRNA from 1 species